rnacentral:pre_miRNA from 1 species
AAAAAGACAAACUAUGGGUUCCCGUACUAACGUUUGACUGUUCGUCUUAUAUAAAUUUUUUUUAUAAUUAGUAUUUCCAUUGUUGAUAGAUGAUAAAACAUGAUUAAUACUUUAUUAUGAUUAAUACUUUAUGCAUGACUUAUCUUUUUAAUUUUUUUCAUAUUUUUUUUAAAUAAGACGAACGGUCAAAUGUUGGACACGGAAACUAGGGUUUGUCUUUUU